AUCAUUACCUAGAGUUGCGGGCUUUGCCUGCCAUCUCUUACCCAUGUCUUUUGAGUACCUUCGUUUCCUCGGCGGGUUCGCCCGCCGAUUGGACAAAACUUAAACCCUUUGUAAUUGAAAUCAGCGUCUGAAAAAAACAUAAUAUUUACAACUUUCAACAACGGAUCUCUUGGUUCUGGCAUCGAUGAAGAACGCAGCGAAAUGCGAUAAGUAGUGUGAAUUGCAGAAUUCAGUGAAUCAUCGAAUCUUUGAACGCACAUUGCGCCCCUUGGUAUUCCAUGGGGCAUGCCUGUUCGAGCGUCAUUUGUACCUUCAAGCUUUGCUUGGUGUUGGGUGUUUGUCUCGCCUCUGCGCGCAGACUCGCCUCAAAACGAUUGGCAGCCGGCGUAUUGAUUUCGGAGCGCAGUACAUCUCGCGCUUUGCACUCACAACGACGACGUCCAAAAAGUACAUUUUUACACUCUUGACCUCGGAUCAGGUAGGGAUACC
rnacentral:rRNA from 1 species